rnacentral:rRNA from 1 species
GAGUAACACGUAGGUAAUCUACCUUCGGGUGGGGAAUAACGCAGGGAAACUUGCGCUAAUACCGCAUAAUGCAGCGGCACCACAUGGUGACAGUUGUUAAAGCGGGGGAUUUUCGGACCUCGCGCCUGAAGAGGAGCCUGCGGCAGAUUAGCUAGUUGGUAGGGUAACGGCUUACCAAGGCGACGAUCUGUAGCCGGCCUGAGGGGGCGGUCGGCCACACUGACACUGACAUACGGGUCAGACUCCUACGGGAGGCAGCAGUCGGGAAUUUUGGGCAAUGGGCGAAAGCCUGACCCAGCAACGCCGCGUGAAGGAUGAAAUCCUUCGGGAUGUAAACUUCGCAAGAAUGGGAAGAAUGAACGAGCGCUAACACCGUUCGUGAUGACGGUACCAUUUGUAAGCUCCGGCUAACUCCGUGCCAGCAGCCGCGGUAAUACGGGGGGAGCAAGCGUUGUUCGGAUUUACUGGGCGUAAAGGGCGCGUAGGCGGCCAGCGCAAGUCAGUUGUGAAAUCUCCGGGCUUAACUCGGAACGGUCAACUGAUACUGCGCGGCUAGAGUGCGGAAGGGGCAACUGGAAUUCUCGGUGUAGCGGUGAAAUGC